GGGGGCUGGAUUCCUCUCUGUAUGGUGGCUGUGGUGUGCUGAAGGUGCCACUGUAGUGACUAGACUCUUAGUUCCUUCUGCAGCCCAAGGGCUGUUAUGGUGGUACCACUGCAAUUGCAGUGGUUGUGAAUUGACUCUGGUAUUUCCUCCUUGGAGAAAUGCUGGGCUACUUCUUAUUGAAGUCGUCAGGUGGGGGGCAGGGUAGUUGUACCGGAGUCCCAGGCCAGGUGGCCCUGCUUGGUAAGGAGAAGUGAGGACUGAAAACUGCAGGAAGAAAAAUGCAGCCACUCUUCUGUGAGGCAGGUGCUCUGUGCUGGGGGUUCAGACCAACCCCUGGUACCUGUGGACUCUCCAGGAGAUAGGGUUUCACUGUGUUGACCAGGCUGCACUUGAACCUCUGACCUCAAGCAAUCCUUCUGCCUUGGCCUCCCAAAGUGCUGGAAUUAUAGUCAUGAGCCACCACACCCAGCCCCUAAGUGGACAUUUAAUCCAUGUACAUUCAAGGUUAUUAUUGUCUAUAUUUGAUAUAAUCAAAUACUUGGUCAUUUUUAAAUUAUUUUAAUAGUUUCAAAUAUAUUUGUUAAAUUUGCUCUAUUUGAAUCAGGAUCUAAAGAAGUUUCAAAGUUGCAUCAGCUAAUAUAUCUUUUUAGUUUUUAAAAAUAUAUAUGAAUUCCUUUCUCCUGCUUUUUAGCUCUGUGUAUUUGCUGAAUAAUCCAGGAUACUCAUCCUGUUGAAUAUUCCAUACCUUGUGAUUAUCUUAUUAAACCCUACGGUGUUCUUGCAUGUUUCUCUCUUCGACAUAUUUCCUGUAUAUUGUCAUAAAAUAGAGAAUAUUUAACAAUUAGGCUCAUUUCUAGUUGGUUCUAUGUGCUCCAUAUUAUACUUUAUGUGUAUUCACUUCAUGUGAUAUAAAAAUUGAUCAGUAGGUUCAGGUAUUUUCAGCUGAUUCAUUCCAUAUAUGUUUUCUUCUGAAACAGUUAUUCGUCAUUUUAGCUUCUAUUGGUUGUUAUCUUAGGCCCAUUAAUUCAUUGGGUUCCAAAUGAAUUUGUCUGUAUGUUAGUGUCCCAUGAAACAAUUCUUUUCUCCGAUGUUUUAUAACUUAAUUAAAAUGCCAGAUCUUGAUUUUUAGCAGUUGUAAUUUUUUUCUGUUAAUUUAAUUACAUUUUUAUAUUACAUAAAACAGCUACAGGAUUUCAAAGUCAAAAAUAUAAAAUAAGAUGUAUUCAGAAUAACUUUUAUCCCUGUGCCUUG
rnacentral:lncRNA from 10 species